rnacentral:rRNA from 1 species
UACGUAGGGGGCAAGCGUUAUCCGGAUUUAUUGGGUUUAAAGGGUGCGUAGGCGGUUUUUUAAGUUAGUGGUUAAACGUCGGGGCUUCACCUUGAUUUGCCAUUAAUACUGUAAGACUCGAGUUCAGACGAGGUAGGCGGAAUAAGUUAAGUAGCGGUGAAAUGCAUAGAUAUAACUUAGAACACCGAUAGCGAAGGCAGCUUACCAGACUGAGUCUGACGCUGAUGCACGAGAGCAUGGGUAGCGAACAGG